rnacentral:rRNA from 1 species
AUCUGGGCGGCGAAAUUCAGGAUGGCUGGCGGGCCUCGUGCACGUCCGGCCGUUUGAUGUUUUCGUCGCCAACGCAGACGUCGCGACCUGUUCGUCGUCGGUCCUUGCUUUUCGGAGGAGUCGCGAUCGAGUUCGUUGCGCGGCGCGUUUCGGCGUGUCGUGCGGCGAAGACGCGGAUCUCUGGCUGACGACGGACAGUAAGCAACGGUGUCCGACGUCGUUUCGCGCGACGUUCGGUACCGGUCAGCGACGAUUUCUUCGGGCCUCUUUCCGACCCGUCUUGAAACACGGACCAAGGAGUCUAACAUGCGCGCGAGUCGCGGGGUGUCGAGCGUACCACGGUGCGCUCGUUACAUGACGAAACCCGUAAUGUUGAAGGCGUAAUGAAAGUGAAUAUGGGGAAGAUGGCGUUCCGAGUUCACGUACCGUGAUGACAGUAUCGCGGCCGGACGCCCGCAUUCCCGGGGCGUCUCAAUGGCUCGUCGCGGAUGCGGACGGUCGUCUUUCGGGGCGGCCGUCGGUCUGCGACGGACCGA